AUUCCGAUGAGGUAGACAUCCCCAAUAAGUAUAGGAAGUGCCGUAUGACACUUUAAACCGCACCGGAUUACGGCGGCGCGUGUCCUUCCACCAAUUCACCACCUCUCCGAUCAUUAACACGAUCUCGAGCUCCGGUUUUUGGUCCGGAUACGUCGCUUUGCCUCUUCCGCUGUGUGUGUGAUUUUGAACGGGUCUCUGAGGUUUCUUCUCCAUUAAGUUUCACACAUUUUCUCACACUCACGCGCUCCCACGCGCCGCCGAUGCUGACUUGACAUUUUAGGUUCGAUGCACGUCACCGGUAGCCAAACGUGCAGUGAAGUUUCUUCUUCUUUUAAGUUUCACACAUUUUAUCACACUCACGCGCUCCCACGUGCCGCCGAUGUUUACCUAACAUUUUAGGUUCGAUGCCACGUCACCGGUAGCCAAAAGUGCAGUGACCGUUGAUGCUAUGAUUGAACCGAUAACAAACUUUUGUGUGUUUCGCAUUUCAUAGGAACCUGUGAAUCGAUGAUAAUCCGUUCGUUCAUGGAGCCGUUUUUUGCGAUUACAUUUUCUUUAAUUUAUAAAAUAUUUUUUUUGUUUUUUGUGAUUUUUUCUAAAAGUUGUGCCUGUGAUGAUUCAUUUUUAAAUGUUGGAAUUACCGACUGAUUUUUUUGUGAUGAUAGAUCGACUAGCUGAGGCACUUU
rnacentral:lncRNA from 1 species